rnacentral:rRNA from 1 species
UACGUAGGGUGCGAGCGUUAAUCGGAAUUACUGGGCGUAAAGCGUGCGCAGGCGGCUUGCCAAGUCAGAUGUGAAAGCCCCGGGCUCAACCCGGGAACUGCGUUUGAAACUGGCAGGCUAGAGUUUGGCAGAGGGGGGUGGAAUUCCACGUGUAGCAGUGAAAUGCGUAGAGAUGUGGAGGAACACCGAUGGCGAAGGCGGCUACCUGGACCAGCACUGACACUGAAGCACGAAAGCGUGGGGAGCAAACAGG